rnacentral:rRNA from 1 species
CCUACGGGAGGCAGCAGUGAGGAAUAUUGGUCAAUGGGCGCGAGCCUGAACCAGCCAAGUAGCGUGAAGGCUGACUGCUCUACGGGUUGUAAACCUCUUUUAUAAAGGAAUAAAGUGAGGUACGUGUGGCUUUUUGUAUGUACUUUACGAAUAAGGAUCGGCUAACUCCGUGCCAGCAGCCGCGGUAACACGGAGGAUCCGAGCGUUAUCCGGAUUUAUUGGGUUUAAAGGGAGCGUAGAUGGGUUGUUAAGUCAGUUGUGAAAGUUUGCGGCUCAACCGUAAAAUUGCAAUUGAUACUGGCAGCCUUGAGUACAGUUGAGGUAGGCGGAAUUCGUGGUGUAGCGGUGAAAUGCUUAGAUAUCACGAAGAACUCCGAUUGCGAAGGCAGCUUACUAAACUGCCACUGACAUUGAUGCUCGAAAGUGUGGGUAUCAAACAGGAUUAGAUACCCGUGUAGUC